AACGUAACCGUCUCUUGCCUUUCCCGCUUUCAGCCCUCAACCACCACGAUCGCUGCUCGCUCUCCUGCCGGCGCUCGCUUUCCAUCGGCGACCUCCACCACCACCGUCGUGUUUCGAAGAGAACUCCAGAGCGAGGGGACGCUGUCAGAGAAGAAAGAGGAAGAAGAAAAAGAACAUGGUCGCUGAUUCUUUUGGGUCUUUGUGGAUGUUGGGUUUCUCGUGAAAGCUGCAGCCACAUAUGGGGAGGCAUUCCGGAUCACUCUCUCCAUCUACCUCACCGCUCGUCGGAGUAGCAGAUCGAUCAUCGUGCCUCUCGCCUUCCUACCGUUUGGACCUCAUAUCUGAUCAACGUUGCUCUCCUUCCUAUCGUUGUUCUAACUGACGCUUUCUAAGGUUUCAAGACUUUGAUCUGACAUGAUAUCCAGCAGAGAACGAUGGAAGGGGGAAAGACGACUUUGAGCCGCAGCCGUCGAUAGACUCGUUGGACGACGGGUGCCAUAUGACCGCUCUCUGGUCUUCAAAGCUCAUCCCCAAGCCUGCUUUAAAAUGGACUGAUUAAGAAGGCGCUGGAAAUCUUCGUCCCCCUCAUCGUAUUCACCAUCAACGGAAAGGCUCUGAGAUUUCCACCGACUGCAGGUUUCUCUAUCUCCCCUCUGCGAUGAAGUAGAUUCCCUGAUUGCUUCAGAUUUCUUGCCUCUAGUUGCUUGUGAUUUUAAUCCUCAGGCAUCCAGUUUUUUGUUUCGCGAGGUUGUGAUUCCCUGAUUUCUUCCGUCUUUUGUUUUGCAUCGUUGUGUUUUUAAGGGCUUUUAUGUUAUGUGACCGGAAAAGGGUGUUUUCCUUUUCUUGUGACCGUUUUCGAGCUUACACUAUGUUCCAAGAAUGAAAGCCAACAAGGUUUUGUUUUAAGGGAAUUUGGCAGCAGAACAGUAUUUCAGACAUGAGCGGAUAGUGCAUGAUUUGCCAUAAUUCAAAUUAUUUUAUAAGGACGAUUUGUAAAUCGCAAACGCAGGUGGUUUUAUGGUGAGGUUGAGUAAAUUUUCGAGAAAUCUUUGCUUUGAAUGUGCGAUUAGGAGCUUGGCAUCACACUUGAAACGUUUUGCUGUUCAAGCUCUGUUUUAAGUUCUCUCGGUCAUUAGUGAAAUGGGUUUAGGACGACAGGUUUUGGACUUCUUUUUUUUUUUUGCUGACAUGAAACUAAAAUACGUCUGAUUCUAGCUUCAGAAUAAGCGUUUUUUGAAAUAGUUCUGAUGCAAAAAUGAGGGUCUGACUAACUGCAGCAUUAAUUGCUUAUUGCGUUUUUUUGAAAUAGUUAUGAUGCUAAUAUGAGGGUCUGACUAG